CAGUAGCCGCGGGAAUACGUAGGGUGCAAGCGUUAAUCGGAAUUACUGGGCGUAAAGCGUGCGCAGGCGGUCCGCUAAGACAGAUGUGAAAUCCCCGGGCUUAACCUGGGAACUGCAUUUGUGACUGGCGGGCUAGAGUAUGGCAGAGGGGGGUAGAAUUCCACGUGUAGCAGUGAAAUGCGUAGAGAUGUGGAGGAAUACCGAUGGCGAAGGCAGCCCCCUGGGCCAAUACUGACGCUCAUGCACGAAAGCGUGGGGAGCAAACAGGAUUAGAUACCCGAGUAGUCCCUGUCUCUUAUAC
rnacentral:rRNA from 1 species